AUAACCAUCGGUGGUGCAGUGGUAGAAUGCUCGCCUGCCACGCGGACGGUCCGGGUUCGAUUCCCGGCCGUUUCA
rnacentral:tRNA from 1 species